rnacentral:rRNA from 1 species
GACGAACGCUGGCGGCGUGCUUAACACAUGCAAGUCGAACGGAAAGGCCCUGCUUUUGUGGGGUGCUCGAGUGGCGAACGGGUGAGUAACACGUGAGUAACCUGCCCUUGACUUUGGGAUAACUUCAGGAAACUGGGGCUAAUACCGGAUAGGAGCUCCUGCUGCAUGGUGGGGGUUGGAAAGUUUCGGCGGUUGGGGAUGGACUCGCGGCUUAUCAGCUUGUUGGUGGGGUAGUGGCUUACCAAGGCUUUGACGGGUAGCCGGCCUGAGAGGGUGACCGGCCACAUGGGGACGGGGAUACGGCCAGGACUCCUACGGGAGGCAGCGGUGGGGAAUAUUGCACAAUGGGCGGAAGCCUGAGGCAGCAACGCCGCGUGCGGGAUGACGGCCUUCGGGUUGUAAACCGCUUUCGCCUGUGACGAGGCGUGAGUGACGGUAUGGGUAAAGAAGCACCGGCUAACUACGUG